rnacentral:rRNA from 1 species
ACGCUCGACACCUACGGGAUGCAGCAGUGGGGAAUAUUGCACAAUGGGGGGAACCCUGAUGCAGCGACGCCGCGUGAGGGAAGAAGGUUUUCGGAUUGUAAACCUCUGUCCUUGGUGACGAUAAUGACGGUAGCCAAGGAGGAAGCCACGGCUAACUACGUGUCAGCACGCCGGACGGUAAUCUGAGGCGGGCUGGACAAGGC